rnacentral:rRNA from 1 species
GAUCCUGGCUCAGGACGAACGCUGGCGGCGUGCUUAACACAUGCAAGUCGAACGGAAAGGCCCUUCGGGGUGCUCGAGUGGCGAACGGGUGAGUAACACGUGGGUGAUCUGCCCUGCACUUUGGGAUAAGCCCGGGAAACUGGGUCUAAUACCGAAUAGGACUCCGGACUGCAUGGUCUGGGGUGGAAAGCUUUUGCGGUGUGGGAUGGGCCCGCGGCCUAUCAGCUUGUUGGUGGGGUGAUGGCCUACCAAGGCGACGACGGGUAGCCGGCCUGAGAGGGUGACCGGCCACACUGGGACUGAGAUACGGCCCAGACUCCUACGGGAGGCAGCAGUGGGGAAUAUUGCACAAUGGGCGCAAGCCUGAUGCAGCGACGCCGCGUGAGGGAUGACGGCCUUCGGGUUGUAAACCUCUUUCAGCACAGACGAAGCGCGAGUGACGGUAUGUGCAGAAGAAGGACCGGCCAACUACGUGCCAGCAGCCGCGGUAAUACGUAGGGUCCGAGCGUUGUCCGGAAUUACUGGGCGUAAAGAGCUCGUAGGUGGUUUGUCGCGUUGUUGCGUGAAAACUCACAGCUUAACUGUGGGCGUGCGGGGCGAUACGGGCAGACUGGAGUACUGCAGGGGAGACUGGAAUUCCUGGUGUAGCGGUGGAAUGCGCAGAUAUCAGGAGGAACACCGGUGGCGAAGGCGGGUCUCUGGGCAGUAACUGACGCUGAGGAGCGAAAGCGUGGGGAGCGAACAGGAUUAGAUACCCUGGUAGUCCACGCCGUAAACGGUGGGUACUAGGUGUGGGUUUCCUUCCUUGGGAUCCGUGCCGUAGCUAACGCAUUAAGUACCCCGCCUGGGGAGUACGGCCGCAAGGCUAAAACUCAAAGGAAUUGACGGGGGCCCGCACAAGCGGCGGAGCAUGUGGAUUAAUUCGAUGCAACGCGAAGAACCUUACCUGGGUUUGACAUGCACAGGACGCCGGCAGAGAUGUCGGUUCCCUUGUGGCCUGUGUGCAGGUGGUGCAUGGCUGUCGUCAGCUCGUGUCGUGAGAUGUUGGGUUAAGUCCCGCAACGAGCGCAACCCUUGUCUCAUGUUGCCAGCACGUGAUGGUGGGGACUCGUGAGAGACUGCCGGGGUCAACUCGGAGGAAGGUGGGGAUGACGUCAAGUCAUCAUGCCCCUUAUGUCCAGGGCUUCACACAU